rnacentral:rRNA from 1 species
AGAGUUUGAUCCUGGCUCAGGACGAACGCUGGCGGCGCGCCUAACACAUGCAAGUCGAACGGAGCUGAGAGGAGCUUGCUUUUCUUAGCUUAGUGGCGAACGGGUGAGUAACGCGUGAGUAACCUGCCCUGGAGUGGGGGACAACAGUUGGAAACGACUGCUAAUACCGCAUAAGCCCACGAUCCGGCAUCGGAUUGAGGGAAAAGGAUUUAUUCGCUUCAGGAUGGACUCGCGUCCAAUUAGCUAGUUGGUGAGGUAACGGCCCACCAAGGCGACGAUUGGUAGCCGGACUGAGAGGUUGAACGGCCACAUUGGGACUGAGACACGGCCCAGACUCCUACGGGAGGCAGCAGUGGGGGAUAUUGCACAAUGGGGGAAACCCUGAUGCAGCGACGCCGCGUGGAGGAAGAAGGUUUUCGGAUUGUAAACUCCUGUCGUUAGGGACGAUAAUGACGGUACCUAACAAGAAAGCACCGGCUAACUACGUGCCAGCAGCCGCGGUAAAACGUAGGGUGCAAGCGUUGUCCGGAAUUACUGGGUGUAAAGGGAGCGCAGGCGGACCGGCAAGUUGGAAGUGAAAACUAUGGGCUCAACCCAUAAAUUGCUUUCAAAACUGCUGGCCUUGAGUAGUGCAGAGGUAGGUGGAAUUCCCGGUGUAGCGGUGGAAUGCGUAGAUAUCGGGAGGAACACCAGUGGCGAAGGCGGCCUACUGGGCACCAACUGACGCUGAGGCUCGAAAGUGUGGGUAGCAAACAGGAUUAGAUACCCUGGUAGUCCACACCGUAAACGAUGAUUACUAGGUGUUGGAGGAUUGACCCCUUCAGUGCCGCAGUUAACACAAUAAGUAAUCCACCUGGGGAGUACGACCGCAAGGUUGAAACUCAAAGGA